UGCAGCUUUUUUUGAUGUGCUGGCGUAAGCUACUUAGGGCCAAUUUAUUUUUAAUGCAUUGAAAGGCCGUAGCUACUCAGGUGGGGCGCCUUAAGCGCAAGAAGGAGGCUCUCACGCUUAAAGUUGACAAUAACACAGUUUAGAAAAGCGGUUGGAAGGGGGGUGUCUAGCGAUUUUGGAAACGGCAGGACUCGAGCAAUUUAGUGAAUUAUUUGCUCCACUUCGUUUAAGUCAGAAAAAUCUGGGGUCUUGGACAGAACUUUUUUAAAGGUUUUUUAUAUAAUUCGGACUUUUAUUAUGGUAAAUCCCUAAAGGAGGAUUUAUACAAAGACAUGCAACACAUUUGCUGACAUAACUUUGUUGAAGAAUUAAUUCUUUCUUUCCGUUGCCUAUAAUUUGAGCAAGACGGGCAGUUCCGUAAUUAAGAAUUGCUAAUGGCAAUAAUAGCAAUUUUGAAACCAAUCUAAGUUGUAACUAGAGAAGAAACGGCUGCUGACUGCAGAAUAAGUUAAAGCUCUUUACCACCUCUCACAAA